AGAGUUUGAUCCUGGCUCAGAACGAACGCUGGCGGCGUGGAUAAGACAUGCAAGUCGAACGAGAGAAUUGCUAGCUUGCUAAUAAUUCUCUAGUGGCGCACGGGUGAGUAACACGUGAGUAACCUGCCCCCGAGAGCGGGAUAGCCCUGGGAAACUGGGAUUAAUACCGCAUAGUAUCGAAAGAUUAAAGCAGCAAUGCGCUUGGGGAUGGGCUCGCGGCCUAUUAGUUAGUUGGUGAGGUAACGGCUCACCAAGGCGAUGACGGGUAGCCGGUCUGAGAGGAUGUCCGGCCACACUGGAACUGAGACACGGUCCAGACACCUACGGGUGGCAGCAGUCGAGAAUCAUUCACAAUGGGGGAAACCCUGAUGGUGCGACGCCGCGUGGGGGAAUGAAGGUCUUCGGAUUGUAAACCCCUGUCAUGUGGGAGCAAAUUAAAAAGAUAGUACCACAAGAGGAAGAGACGGCUAACUCUGUGCCAGCAGCCGCGGUAAUACAGAGGUCUCAAGCGUUGUUCGGAAUCACUGGGCGUAAAGCGUGCGUAGGCUGUUUCGUAAGUCGUGUGUGAAAGGCGCGGGCUCAACCCGCGGACGGCACAUGAUACUGCGAGACUAGAGUAAUGGAGGGGGAACCGGAAUUCUCGGUGUAGCAGUGAAAUGCGUAGAUAUCGAGAGGAACACUCGUGGCGAAGGCGGGUUCCUGGACAUUAACUGACGCUGAGGCACGAAGGCCAGGGGAGCGAAAGGGAUUAGAUACCCCUGUAGUCCUGGCAGUAAACGGUGCACGCUUGGUGUGCGGGGAAUCGACCCCCUGCGUGCCGGAGCUAACGCGUUAAGCGUGCCGCCUGGGGAGUACGGUCGCAAGAUUAAAACUCAAAGAAAUUGACGGGGACCCGCACAAGCGGUGGAGUAUGUGGCUUAAUUCGAUGCAACGCGAAGAACCUUACCUGGGCUUGACAUGUAAUGAACAACAUGUGAAAGCAUGCGACUCUUCGGAGGCGUUACACAGGUGCUGCAUGGCCGUCGUCAGCUCGUGUCGUGAGAUGUUGGGUUAAGUCCCGCAACGAGCGCAACCCUUAUUGCCAGUUACUACGUAAGAGGACUCUGGCGAGACUGCCGUUGACAAAACGGAGGAAGGUGGGGAUGACGUCAAAUCAUCAUGCCCUUUAUGACCUGGGCUACACACGUACUACAAUGGCGUUUAACAAAGAGAAGCAAGACCGCGAGGUGGAGCAAAACUCAAAAACAACGUCUCAGUUCAGAUUGCAGGCUGCAACUCGCCUGCAUGAAGUCGGAAUUGCUAGUAAUCGCGGAUCAGCAUGCCGCGGUGAAUACGUUCCCGGGCCUUGCACUCACCGCCCGUCA
rnacentral:rRNA from 1 species